rnacentral:rRNA from 1 species
UACGUAGGGUGCGAGCGUUGUCCGGAAUUAUUGGGCGUAAAGAGCUCGUAGGCGGUCUGUCGCGUCGGCUGUGAAAACCCGGGGCUCAACCCCGGGCCUGCAGUCGAUACGGGCAGACUAGAGUGCGGUAGGGGAGACUGGAAUUCCUGGUGUAGCGGUGAAAUGCGCAGAUAUCAGGAGGAACACCGGUGGCGAAGGCGGGUCUCUGGGCCGAUAUUGACGCUGAGGAGCGAAAGCGUGGGGAGCGAACAGG